CCUCGGGGUGCCAUCAUGGCUGAGACGCAUUUGCGGACCCGUUGAACCUGAUCCGGUUAAAACCGGCGGAGGGAAGGU
rnacentral:ncRNA from 1 species